GCGCCUAUAGCUCAACUGGUAGAGCAACGCCCUUGUAAGGCGUAGGUUGCAGGUUCAACUCCUGUUGGGCGCUCCA
rnacentral:tRNA from 1 species